rnacentral:lncRNA from 1 species
AGUGCUUUUAUCUCAAUGUUUGGGUCCCUCUUAUAUUUUUGUCUUUUUUUUUCAGAUAGGGUCUUGCUAGGAGGUCUAGGCUGGCUUUGAACUCUUCCUGCCUCAGCCUUCUGAAUGGUGGACUUAUAGGUAUGGACACCACACUUGGCUUCUGAAUGUUGAAAUCUUAAUCCACAAGGAGUUAUUCAGCUGCUCCCAGGGAAUUUGUCUUCCUCAAGGAAGAUGUACCCGAUGCACUACUCAAGGUGAAUGGCGGUUACACCUCAGGUGAGUAAUAUUU